GUCUGGUCCGAUGGCAGUGGGUUAUCAGAACUUAUUAACAUUAGUGUCACUAAAGUUGGUAUACCACCCCCCCCACUGCUAAAUUUGACUGGCUAAA
ensembl:misc_RNA Y_RNA Y RNA